rnacentral:rRNA from 1 species
UACGUAGGGGGCAAGCGUUAUCCGGACUUACUGGGUGUAAAGGGAGCGUAGACGGCCAGACAAGUCUGAAGUGAAAAUCCAGCGCUUAACGUUGGAAGUGCUUUGGAAACUGCCGGGCUGGAGUGCAGGAGGGGCAGGCGGAAUUCCUAGUGUAGCAGUGAAAUGCGUAGAUAUUAGGAGGAACACCAGUGGCGAAGGCGGCCUGCUGGACUGCAACUGACGUUGAGGCUCGAAGGCGUGGGGAGCAAACAGG